rnacentral:lncRNA from 1 species
UUCACGUUGGGUUCUGUAAUUGGUCUCGACUUUGUAAAUGUCCAGUGGCUAAAGGACAAAAACAAGCAUUAACCCACAAACUUUAACACCCACAAAAAAAGAGGAAAAAUGGUCAUCUCUUUCCUCCAUUCAAAUCGAAGCAUGAAGCACAACAUCCCUUUCAUCUUCUCCAAUGCUUUGAUUAAAAGCCUUGCCCACGAACAAGAGACCAUGACACUGAAUCCGGACACGCCAAUAACAGAGAUGACUGAUUCACGACGGUGAUGUGGAAGAAUACCGACUAGUGACUUUCGCCGUUGACCCACAAACAAUCCCAGUGUUUUUGAGUUGCGAUGAGGUAUGAAUCAGAGUAUUUCCUUGCAUGUCAAAUUGAUUAGCUGAAAUUAGGAGAUUUGGUAGAAAAAGAAUAAUGGGUCUCGAAAAUUUUUUGACAAUGUUUCUGUUGCUUCCACUUUUUUCCAUCGAUUAGUGAUAGGUGAAUGAUUGCUGCAAAUGCAUGUUCACUUCUGAUUUUUUAUAUUGUCGUAUGGUUGAUUGAAAAUGAAUUUGAAUUUUUUUUAUUUGUUUAAGGUACUUCUACUGAUUAUUGAGCGUGGAUUCUGCUAAUUUUUGUUAAAUUAAAGAUGGGAUUGUUUUUUAGGAGACUUGCAAAACCUUCUCCGCAAUAGAUUUGGCUUCUGGCAUGCCUACUUGGGCGGAGAUAAUUGCUUAUAUGGUCAUUGCUGCCUAUAUUAGUCAGGAAUAUUGAUUAGGCAAUGUACUGGGGUAGAGAUCGAUGGGAUUUUAGAAAAUUGGUUGUAGAUGCAGCCUGAUUGUGGUCUCAAAUAGUGUGAUCUGUCAAUCAAAUGUUAUCCUCACUCCUGGAAAAUAGUAAUACUUUAGUCAAAUCUUCUAGUAAUGUAGCUUCCAAAUAUUGAGAUCAGUCAUUUAUGGAUUGGAGGACAUAAGCUACUUUUAAAAGGUCUGUAGAAACUGAGAUAAGGUGUUUGGGUCAUUGGCCUUGUCUUUCUCUGCACUAUAGAGGUGUAUAGAACUGAGAUAAGAAGGUGUGUUCAGUCACUAGCCUAGUCUUUUCAUAUGCUAUACUAAACCAACUGUGCACUGAUGUGAUUGUUCUUCCUCACACUUUCAAAAAUUUAUCAACAAGGAUACUAAGCUAGUUGCAGGCCAGUAGGGAGUUAAAUUGUAAUAAACAGCGAGUUAAAAUGGAAGAGAAAAAGUAUUUGUAGUGCAAGCAAUAAGGGAAGUAUUAUGAAGUUCCAGUAAAUUUAUAAAAUAGUUAAACCAAAUAACAUACAAUGAACUGAAAAUAUGGAAUUUACAGUCUUACAUAAUGUUGCCCAGUCUCAUCAAGAAUCCCAGCUACAGCAGAUGCACAAUUUAGUCCCUUCAUGAUGUUUUUACCUUUAGAUCUGUUGAGGAUACUUGAUUUUAUUUUUUAUUUUGAUCAUGGUAUUUAUAUGUAUUGGGUUGAAGAAAUUGUCAUGGUUUGCUGCAUUCUUUCUUGCUGGAGCAGUGAGUUAAACAAUGGGGUGUGCUUGAGUGCUUCAUUUUAGUUGGGUAUCUAUUAUAAUUCAAGCAAAAUAAGCCUCAACAGAGAAGAUACAUAAACGUCUCACUAGUUCAUGCUCUGAAACGAUAAUGCAAUGGUUAUUGAGUGUGAAAAAGUAGAUUGAUUUAGGACAUAGAAAUUGUUUUAACCUCAUGAUUAGCAUUAAUGUGUUGUCAUGUAAGUUGUAGUUAAAUUAAAGAUGGAAUUGCAUAUUGAGGAUAGAUUGAUGUCAAGAAUUUGAUUUCGUCAUAUUCUCUUGAUCUCGCAUGAUUGUUUAAAUGAUUGGUAGUUGAGGUGUUUAAAUGCUUUUAAUUGUUACUUGCCCUACAUGUUGGUGUAUUGAAUGCAUAUGUAUUUUGGUUGUUGAGUUUUACUCUCAUAAACGAUUAUGUUGUGGUAUUAGCAUUAAAGAAGCUGUAACAUGGAGUAUAUUAAUGAAUUUUAAAUGAAAUCAUUUCACAUUGUUUUCUUUUUCAUUUAUUAUUUUAUACUGACCAUAUGUAAUGGCGUUAACUUUAC